rnacentral:rRNA from 1 species
GAUGAACGCUGGCGGCGUGCUUAACACAUGCAAGUCGAACGGAAAGGCUCCUGCUUGCAGGGGUACUCGAGUGGCGAACGGGUGAGUAACACGGGGGUGAUCUGCCCUGCACUUCGGGAUAAGCCUGGGAAACUGGGUCUAAUACCGGAUAGGACGAUGGUUUGGAUGCCAUUGUGGAAAGUUUUUCGGUGUGGGAUGAGCUCGCGGCCUAUCAGCUUGUUGGUGGGGUAAUGGCCUACCAAGGCGUCGACAGGUAGCCGGCCUGAGAGGGUGUACGGCCACAUUGGGACUGAGAUACGGCACAGACUCCUACGGGAGGCAGCAGUGGGGAAUAUUGAACAAUGGGCGCAAGCCUGAUGCAGCGACGCCGCGUGGGGGAUGACGGCCUUCGGGUUGUAAACUCCUUUCGCUAGGGACGAAGCGCAAGUGACGGUACCUGGAGAAGAAGCACCGGCUAACUACGUG